rnacentral:misc_RNA from 1 species
GCUCACUGUACUGCCAGUGAAGUUCAUCUCCGACGAUCUCAUCUCCGGCGACUUCUCUAUCGCGCCGAUCUCAUCUCCAGCGACUUCGAAAACGCGCCGAUCUCUGUUGAAGUUGGUUGAAUCAAGAGAAGACAAAAGAUGCCUCUAUAUGACUGUAUGCUGUUACUGAAACCCCAUGUAAAGAAGGAGGCUAUGAUGGACCUCAUUGCAAAGGUUGGGAAGCAUGUCUAUCGAAAAAAUGGGGUCCUUACAGAUUUAAAGUCAUUUGGAACUGUUCAACUGGGUUAUGGCAUUAAGAAACUAGAUGGAAGAUACUAUCAGGGUCAACUGAUGCAAAUGACAGUGAUGACACCACCCAGCUUAAACAAUGAGCUGCAUUACCUGAACAAAGAAGACCGCUUGCUCCGUUGGCUUUUGGUUAAGCAUCGAGACAUCAAAUUUGGAUUUGACUUGUUGGGUGAAGAUGAUGAUGGCAAGGCUGAACUAAGCAAGUUCAGG